rnacentral:lncRNA from 1 species
CAGCAAGCUCUAGUUACCAUCUUUAUGUGUGAUCAGAAAGCCUGUAGUGGAUCCAUGAGGCGGGGAACAAGGCAUGGUGUUGGGACAUCAGCCAAAGGAUUGGACCUUGAGUCAGAGAGUCGGCAAAAGCGGUCCAAGGCGCCAGACUUGUCUCUGUUCUGA